AUGGGGGUGGCACGGUGUAACCGCCAUGAUGGGGGUGGCACGGUGUAACCGCCAUGAUGGGGGUGGCACAGGGUGACCGCCGUGAUGGGGGUGGCACGGCGUGACCGCCGUGAUGGGGGUGGCACGGUGUGGCCGCCAUGGUGGGUGCGGCGGGGCGCGGUGCGGUGCCGGAGCUUCCCCGCCGCUCGGCUCGUCUUGGCGGGCGCUGCUCUGACCGCAGCUCCUCCGUGUCCCAGAGCGCCCGGGGCCCCACCAUGGCUCCGCAGCGAAGCGACGGGGGCUGAGCAGCCCAAGUGCCGGCGGCCUCAGCAGUGGGAGGAAGCUAAACCCUGCCAGGCUUGGACAGAAGAGUGGUGACAGCAGAAGCAAAGCAUGGAAAUAAAGCUUUGGAGGUGGGAGAGCUGUUGCUGUAGAAAAGAAAGGUUCUGUCCAGGUGAAAAGCUGUUUGAGGGGCAAGUCAUCAACCUUGAAGAUGGGACCACAGCUUAUAUCCACCAGCUGUCACAAGUCCAGAGGCAAGGCCCAUGUGCUGUGUCUGUGCCAACUGCAGAGCCCAAGCUAAGUUGGUUUCACCUGGGACCAGCUGGACAGGGCAUUUCUCUCAACUGGGAGGUAAUAUAUGACUUGUAGAAUAGGUGAGGGAGUGGAUUCUUGGAAGUUACACCACUUUGGUCAUUUACUUAUGAGUCAGUGUCACCUAAUUAAUGAAUGAGUUAAUCUGAGAGGUGAUGGGAAUCCAUUUCACGUGACAGGCACGAGAGUGGCCCAGAGGAAUCCUCUCUGACGAGGACAAGAUGUAAAAGGGCAGGUAGAAAGAGCUCUGUUGCUUUCAGCAGUCCUUCCUUCACCCUCACAGCUCUUUGUGUGCCACUUCCCUUUCCUCUUCUUAAGAAACUGCUUGAAACCUGCUUGGUAUGCCUGGCUGUGCCCCUUUCCUCGCUUCAUUCUCUUUCCUACCUCCACACACCCAGGGAGAAGCUUUCUUCCUCCUCAGCCCUGCUUCCCCUGCAAUGGGCUGUUUGUGUUCUUCACACACCCCUGUGCCAGGCUGCUCCUGGCCUGGGACAUAAGGUGGCAUUGUGGAGUUGGUGAGAACCUGCAUCACCCCCAUGAAGGGGUGGUGAAGCUGUGCAUGAAGCUUUAAAACUCACUGUGCUUGUCUGAAGGACUCAAAUGGUGUCUGAACACCUGUAAUUGUAGUUGACUUUCAGUGCAAGGAGGAAGACUCUGCUCUGUCCUCUUCUGUGGGUGAGAAAGGUUCUUCUGCAGAGUUCAGGACCUGACACAGUGUCCUCUCCAUCCCAUCUGAGGCUUCCAGUAAGGUUUGUGGAUGUUCUCCUUUAGAGGCUGUGGCUUUUGAAGACAGUCAGCCAGUGGUGUUGGAAGAUGACAGUGUGGCCUACAUACACAGCACAGCUAAAGGCAAAGAAUGUUCCCUCUUCUUCCCUUGGCAGCUGGAGUAGAAACUGCUGAAAUAUCAAAGACUUCCAAGGCUGUAGGUAGCCCCAGGGAGAUGAAGGAUGCCUCCCUCUCAGCAGCUCUUUACCUUUGAUUUUCCUGGUUUCCCCUUGCAGGGUGUUAUGACCCCAGCACCUUUGAGGCCAUCCAGCUGGAGGAUGGCUCCACUGCCUACAUACAUCAUCCUGUCCUCGUGGCACCUGGCAGCACCAUCCUGGAAGUGCAGGCAGAGCUGAGCUGGAGGAGUUGGCUGGAGAGGAGGGAGAUGAUGCCUUUGAUGUUGAGACCAUUAAUGUGUUAAAGCAGUGCAGCAGUAAGGUGAGGAUGCAGCACUGAGGGGCUGCUGUAGUAGCCCAGGUUUGAGCUGGGGUUUAAGUGUCCCCCUGGCAUUGGUGCCUCUCUGGGUUUGGUUUUCAGCAAUGACAGCUUUGAGAAGAGAAACUGCCCAGGGCUGUGGUGCAAGUGCCACCACUGAGAGGUGGCUGAGGCAGUUAAGGACCUAGAAUGAGGCAGGUUCCUGCAGGACCCUCUGGUUAAUUCCUCCAGAGUGCUGGGCCCCUGUGGUGGGUUUGUGUGGAGCUGUUUCUGGGCACAGGGAAGGGGCUGCAGUGGUGGCUCCUGGAAGAAGUGGCUCAAAACUUCCCCCAGCUCUGGGUCAGGACGACUUCUGGGGCUGAGCCUGUUGGGCACUGAAGCAGCAGCCAGAAGAGGAGGGUUGUUCUUUCUGAGAGAUGAUGGAAGGAGCUGGAUGAGGGAGAAGCAACUAUGUGGACCCCAAGGUCAGUGAGGGAUGAGAAGAGGAGGUGUGCUGGAGCAGAGACCCCCCCCUGCACCCCAUGGUGGGCUGGCAGCUGUUCCCUUGACACCCAUGGAAGGUGCUGGGGGAGCUGAGCUCUGCCAGCAGCUCAUGCAGGACCCCACAGCCAAGGGCUGGCUGUGCCCUGAGGGGCUGUGGCUCUGUGGGAAGGUGCUGCUGGAGCAGAAUGUGCCUGGACAUGUGCUGUCACAGAGGAGAGACCCAUGGGGAGGGAUUUGUGAGGAGCUGCAGCCCCAGGGAAGGACCAGAGAGGUUUGUUAGAAACUGUAAUCCCUAGGAGGGACCCUAUGUUGGAGCAGGGGGAGAAUGUGAGGAGAGGUGGCAGAGACCAUCUGUGAGGGACUGACCCCAUCCCCCUUGAGUAUCUUUUUUCCUCCCAUCUCACUGGGGCCUCCAGCAUCCUCUGGGAAGGAGAUGUGUGUGAGGGGCUGAGCAAGCAGCUUCAUUGCCAGCUGGGCUCAAACCAUGCCAGUCCUCUCAGCCUGCUGCAGGUUACAGCUUGGCUUUGUUUUUCUUGCUUCCUUUAAAUGUCCUUCCUUGUGUUUUCUUUCUGUUUGCCCAAGUUUCUCUUCACACCACCUGAGUCCAACGUUCUCUUGCACAGCUGACUCAGGCAGCAGAUGGAGACGUGUCAGGAGGGGUUUGGUCAUGGCCACUGCUCCCCAUGUUGACAAAGGCCUCCAAAUCAAACCAGCUUCAUAGGACCUGAAAUGUCACUGCAGUGCUCCACAUGAAUGUCUUGGGUGCUGCCCCUUUCUCCCAUCUUCACAGUGGUGUGUGAGAAGGGGCUACCCAGGAGUGUGCCGGUUGGGCAGGGCUGGAGGAGCUGUCAGGUUAUAGUGACCUUUGUGUUCUUCUCUGCUGGCCCUUCAGGCAACAGGCAGGUCUCAGGCUCAGGCAUGUGCUUCCAUCCUCUGAUCAGUGCUCUCCUCCCUCCUUUUACUCCUCCCUUUCCCUGCUUCAGCUGCUGCUGCUGACAGAGGCUUCCCCCUGAAGAGCCAGCAUAUUGCCUUCCUGUCAGAGAUGGAGGAAGAUGAAGAGGAAGCUGCUCUGCCUGUGCAGGUCUCAUCUCAGGAUGGGACAGAGCAGGUAUGGCCACUGACAGCCUCCAGUGUGUGAGGGGCAGCAGGGAGGGAGAUUCUGCCCCUGCCCAGCCUUGAUCUUGUCUUUGAGGCUUUUUUUCAGUGUAAAACAGCCCCUGGGGCCUCAGGGGCCCUCCCAGGCUCCCUCCAGCCUUACCCAACUGCUGCAGCCUUGAAGUGGAAGGUAAAGCAGGAGCCUCUAGUCCACAACUCACCUUCCUGCUGUGUGGGGCCUUGCAGGUGUUUGCUGAGGCUUGUGCAGGGCCUGCAGCCCUCAGCUCCUGGGCAGCUGUGCAGAGGCAGCUCCCAAUGUCUGCUGACACAGGCUGGAUUUGGGGCUUGGUUGCUCAUCAUUUGUGCACAGCAGGGCUUUUCUUGCACUUCCCUCCACCAGCUGCCCAAAUGCUGACUGGGAAAAACUCCCUUCUGUGGCCUGGGGCAAAGGAAACAGCUGACAGGGUUCCUCUUAGGGCAGGGUGCUCCCUGCUGCAGCCAGGCACCAGCUGCCCCUUCAGAGCCUGGGGAGAAGAUGCUGAAUGGGAAGGGGGAGGGCUGAGGACUUGGAGCCUACACCUUCUGCAGCAGCUCUGUCCAUGACCCCAGGCAAAGCUCCUGGAGCUCUCUGUGCCUUGGGCCUUGCACACAGAGGAGACAACAAGAGAGUAUUUUCCCCCCUCCCUCAGUGCUGCAGGACUCAGCCAGCCUGGCUCAGAGCAGCUGCUCUUGCCCUGGCAGGGUCAGUUUGUCUCAUGAGGACCUGGGCAGUGCUGGUGGCACAGGGCAGUGCCCUGGCUGUGCCCCAGGAGCUGCUGCCAGGGGUGACACACACACACCCCCCAGCCUGUGGGCAGCAGCACAGCGCCGUGAUGCAGCCGGUGCAGAGCUUGGCCCUGCCCUGGGGAGGAGCAGCCCGCUGCCAGGGAGCUGCAUUUUCUUCUCAAAGAUGCUGGCUUUUCCUCUGCCCCUUCCCCAGGAGACUCUAGUCCCUGCUGGGGUGGCCACCUCUGAAGACCCAGCCGUUGCAGCCCUGGGCCAGCAGCAGGUGGCGUUGCUGGCUGCUGCCCACGGCACAGUGCAGGUACCACAGGGCUCCUGCCACAUCCCCCCCUUCCUUCCCCCAGCCACCCACGGGCCUCAGCACUCACCCUCUUGCCCAGGCUGCUUCCUCCUCACCUCCCAGCUGCCCUGUGAGUAGAGGAGAGCAGGGAUAUGCUGCUGGCAUUGCAGAAGGCUCCUUUGUAAGCAGUUUUUCCCCACCCCAGCUGUGUCUCUGCUUCAUCCCUGUGUCACCCUCUGCCAGCCCCUCACAGCUCUGUGCUGCUGGGCACUGGCCUGGGUGAGCCCACAGCUCCUGAGCCCCCUUGUUGAAGGGACACUGUUACCAUCCCUCUGUCUUUCCUGCAGCACUUGGAAGAGCAGCAGAGGCUGGAGGAAGCCAUUGGUGUGGCAGCAGCCAGCCAGCAGCAGCCCCUGGGCCUGGGCACAGCCAUGGCUGAGGGUGGGUGCUGAGGCCUGGCAGAGCUGCCUGGGCCAGGCCACCCACAGCACAGCCCGUGCUGGGGGCACUGGGAGCUGUGGGAAGGUGCCUGAGCCCUUCCUGCCCUGCAGCCAAGGGGAGCUGACGGCAGCAGCCUGUGACCCCGUUCCAGGAGGGGUGUCGAAGGUGCUGGGCUGCUGCCUCUGGAGGCUCUGCUGUUUGCCCAGGCCACUGGCUCCCUCUGCCUAGAAGAGAGGGCAGACUCUGGUCCUGGAUUGAUUUCUUCAUGUCUGAGACCUCCCAGAGCUGCCCAGGCCUCUGCAGGUGAGGUGGAGCCACAGAGGUUCCAGCAGGCUGCAACCCUUCCUCGAGAGAUACUCCAAGAGCCUCCCUGGGGCAGGGCCAAGGGGGCACCACGGGCACAGGAGCCAUAAAGCCCCAUCCAACCAGCCCAGCCUGCCCUGGGCUCUGGCUGCAGUGCUGCCCAGUCCCUGGCAUGGGGCUGAGUGCCCAAGCUGCCUCUGGCAGCAAAUCCCUGGGUCACACUCUGCCCUGGCUGAGCAGCAAAGGGCUCCUUCACCAACGCCACUGGGGGCUGGGCUGGGCUGGGCUGGAGAUGCCGAGCAGAAAUAAACCCAAAUACAAUCGGUUAU